rnacentral:snRNA from 1 species
CCGACCCUCAGUAGGAGCU